rnacentral:lncRNA from 1 species
AAGCCACACAUGCAUUCGACCUCUAGGAGUCAUUCACACGAGCCCACGAAUCAUGAUCAGAAGUCCUGGUCGAGGAAAUCAGCACAGUAUGCUAGUAUUGCACUGAUCCUUCUUCGAUGGUCGAUCAGAUGCCUCCGUCUUCUUAAUUUGGACUCUUCCAAAGAUGAGAAGUAGGAGAAGAAGUUUUAGAUGAGACAAUCUCAGAAAACUUACAGAUGG